rnacentral:rRNA from 1 species
GGAUGCUUCGAGGACCCGGCAACGGGACCUUGUUGNUGAGAAGCUGAUCAAACUUGGUCAUUUAGAGGAAGUAAAAGUCGUAACAAGGUUUCCGUAGGUGAACCUGCGGAAGGAUCAUUAUUGAUUGCGAAUCGUUGUCUUCAGUGCUGGCCAGCUCUGGCAAGNNNUGCACGUUGGCGGCUUUUCAUCCAAUACCCCUGUGAACCUUUGGCCUCUUGCUAGCUUUGGCUGGCAGAGGAUUUUUACACCCACUCGAAUGUAAUGAAAUUAUUGUUGUGCGCAAGCACUACUGUACAACUUUCAACAACGGAUCUCUUGGCUCUCGCAUCGAUGAAGAACGCAGCGAAAUGCGAUAAGUAAUGUGAAUUGCAGAAUUCAGUGAAUCAUCGAAUCUUUGAACGCACCUUGCACCCUUUGGCAUUCCGAAGGGUAUGCUCGUUUGAGUGUCAUUGUACUCUCACACUUCUGAUCCUUUUGGAUUGGGAGCGGUGGACUUGGGUGUUGCUGCUUUACUGCGGCUCANCUCAAAUGCAUUAGUGCAACUCUUGGUUGGACAUAGUACGGCGUGAUAAGUAUCUUCGCCGGCACCUCGCAAGAGGGUGGCUGNAUCAGGAGCUCUGUGCUCUCCAACUGUCUUCGGACAACAACUGACAACUUGACCUCAAAUCGAGUAGGACCACCCGCUGAACUUAAGCAUAUCAAUAAGCGGAGGAAAA